UACAGAGGUCUCAACCGUUGUUCGGAUUCAUUGGGCGUAAAGGGUGCGUAGGCGGGUCUUUAAGUCAGGGGUGAAAUCCUGGAGCUCAACUCCAGAACUGCCUUUGAUACUGAGGAUCUCGAGUCCGGGAGAGGUGAGUGGAACUGCGAGUGUAGAGGUGAAAUUCGUAGAUAUUCGCAAGAACACCAGUGGCGAAGGCGGCUCACUGGCCCGGUACUGACGCUGAGGUGCGAAAGCGUGGGGAGCAAACAGG
rnacentral:rRNA from 1 species